rnacentral:rRNA from 1 species
ACGGAGGGUGCGAGCGUUAAUCGGAAUCACUGGGCGUAAAGCGCACGUAGGCGGUGUCGUAAGUCGGAUGUGAAAGCCCUCGGCUCAACCGGGGAACUGCAUUCGAUACUGCGAUGCUUGAGUGCCGGAGAGGGUGGCGGAAUUCCAGGUGUAGGAGUGAAAUCCGUAGAUAUCUGGAGGAACACCAGUGGCGAAGGCGGCCACCUGGCCGGCAACUGACGCUGAGGUGCGAAAGCGUGGGGAUCAAACAG